rnacentral:tRNA from 1 species
GGGCGGGUGGCGGAACGGCAGACGCGCCGGACUUAGGAUCCGGUGCCGCGAGGCGUGAGGGUUCGAGUCCCUCCCCGCCCA